GGUUGUUGUCUUUUUGUCUUUGCUCUCAGUAUUCAUUGUGUUGUUUAAGGGUUUUUGACGUGUAAAAUAGUCACACUAGAAUGUGACGGGGCAUUCUAGAGGCAAUGCUGGGGACUGCCAGUGACAGAGUUUUAAAUGUGUUAAUAACUGGGUUGGGAUUUAUACGAACUUUGAUUACUGCAUAGGAGAAAUAUGUUAAUUUAGUAUAUGUAACAUUAUCCCACCGGUCACAAUUGUGACCGACCAAAACACUUUCACCUACUUUUCCAUUAAAAUUUCGAGAAAAAAAAGAUUACUAAUGACACUUGAUUUGGAUAUUUUCAUGUCUGGGAAAAAUUGGGUUAAAAUGAGCAGAGUGAUUUUUUUUCUAAUAGACUGCAUUUCACUUUGGGCUGACAAGCAGAGGAGGAGUGCAGGAAGUGGUAAGGAGGAGAUUCUAGAGUGGUGAGGAGUGGUCUCGUGUGUUUACAAGUAUCAAUUAAGCAGCCUGAAGUAUUGUACUUUCUGUAUUGCUAAAGGGAUUGUGUUAAGGUUAUUUACUGUUAUUUCACUUUUCAAUAGUAUAGUAUAGAUGGCUCUAGUGCGCUCAUGUCCACUUUGCUAUAAGGUUGUGAUUGGCUUCAGUCAGCACCUUAGGUAUAUACACCAUGUGAGGAACAGUGAAGAAAGGGUGCUCCUUUGUAAUUGGCAGUCGGCUGUGUCAAUGUCAGGCAGGAGCAGUGUCCAGUGACAGGAUGCUCCACACAUCUCAGCAGACUAGACUGGCAUAUAGACUCCCACACAGAGCUCAACAGACAGAUUUUAGAUGACCUUUGGAGACGGCUGACGAUGGAGGGCAUCGAUCCCUGCCAUCACAAUGGCAACAGAUUUGGAUAUUGUGGAGACUAAGAAAAGAAGGGGAGGAGGAAAUACUAUGUUCACCAACAGAAGCAGAGGAGGAAGUGGACUGCAAAGAGGAUUCUGCUACUGCUACGCACCAAUCCUGAGACUGAAGAAAGCUGUGCAAGAGAGGGAUGAGGCACUGACAAUGAGAAGUGAGACCAACCAAUCCAUUAAAGAGGACAACCUGAAGUUGAUCGCUGAGCUGCAUAGAGUGAGGAAGAAGUACCAGCUGCUGAAAAGGAAGAUGGGGAUUGUCAGGGUGAGUCCGGCAAAGGCCCUCAACUUUCAGGCAGAGGCAGACAGACACAAAGCGACAGGUUCAGGGGACCAGAGAGAGGAGCCUACAGUGUCCGGAUCUAGCUGCAAACUCAUCUUUCCGGGAUCUGCUAUGAAAAAACAUUGGCGCAUUUCUUAAAUAUACCAAGGUGACCCCUCCACCUGGCUGCCGGAUGACCGUAAACCAAUGGAAGGGGAUCAACUGGUUGAUGAAGGGCAUUAACAAGUCCAUGAGACGACCAGUUUCCCUUCACCAGGUAAAGGUGAAAGACAACAAGGAAGGCAAGGUGGUGUCCAAAAAGAGCCUGCUGGAGUGCCAGUCUCUUACCAAGGCAAAAAUCCCUCAAGUGCUGAGUAAAUUCUUCUCAAUCUGUGAUGUCACAUGUAUACACACGUAUAGAGUGCAUUAUGGAGUGGGAUUAUGAAGCUGCCUUUAAUUAUUUUCAUGUUCCCACAGAAACAUUGGAAGAAACAAGGACACAGGAAUUAGUACCGGUUUUAUGGGUACCUGUGUGCCUACUUUACCUACAUAUACGGCCACAGACCAGGCCUGUAUAAAAACAUGUUGGUGAAAGAGGCUAAAUGUGACCCGUCUAGGGUGUAUCUGGUCAAUAUAAGUCUAUAAAAUACAGCUGGC
ensembl:lncRNA